GCUGGUCUCGGGGCUUCCUGGCCCAGGGCUGGAGGGCAAGUGGCGUUCAUUUCCAGAUCAGAGGCUGUCCUUGAAGUUAAGCAAGGCUUAAGCGAGAGCUGAGUUAAUGGGGGCUGAGGUCCGUGAACUGGACUUGCAAGAGAGCCACCCGUUGCAGGUAGCUUUUUGAAAAACAGCUCCCACGUUCAUUUGCAGCCUCUUUUAUCCUAUUCUCCCCGCAGAUUCCCUCUGCCUUCUCCCACCUGUCACCCUGGCAGGUGUCCACUAAGGUGCUGUCAGGUCCCUGCCCUGUCCCUUGGCAAUGGGAAAGCCCAUGGUACAGAUGCUCCUUUGAGGUGUCUGCUGCCCUCACCCACCACCUCCCCAGGUGUUUCUCCCCAGGACCCGCACCUGGCUGCCACUGUUGAGACCCAGGUUACACCUGUGCUUACUCUCAGCUGGCCAAUCAGCUGCUCCCUCCCAGGAAUUUGGAUGGAACUGAGAGCCGCUGGUCACUGUUUUCCUGAGGCUCGCAGGGAGGAGAGCACGGUGGGGUCUGGCUGGCCCGUGCACAGCACAGAGCAAUGCAGGCCAGUCUGGAGGAACCAAGAGGGAAGCAGACGCGUGCCCACCCGCCCCAUUCAUUCAACAGGUUGGUGGGGUUUUGUCCGCGCCCCACGCAUGCACAAGUUCCUGGGCCAGGGAUCGAACCCACAACCACAGCUACAGCCAGAGCCGCAGCUGUGACACUGCUGGAUCCUUAACCCACUGAGCCACGAGGAACUCCUCAACAGGUAUUUACUGAUCCCCUACUGUGGGCCUCGCACUGGGGAUAUAGCAGAGAAAAGAAAGACAAACAUCUCUGCCCUGAUGAGGGAUCUUACACAGAAGACGAUGGAAAUGAGAGAGAAAAAGAGACUGCCUCAUUUCUUCCUGCUGGUUCCUGAGACGCGUCUCUGCCCUUGGGCCCCAUGAAACAGCCCCGCAUCCUCCCAGGCAGCUGCCCCUUUUCACUAGGGGGUCAGACAAGGCUCCUGGGCACAGCAGUACGUUAGGACACGCCUAGAGGUGUGCCCAGGGCCAUGGCAGCAGGUGACAGGGAAGGUAAGUGAGGCCAGGAGUCACAGCCCCGCCCCCACCCCAGGUGAUGGCGGCUUGGGAACCCACUGGAGCCGCAUGAGAGUCAGAGGCAUCAGGAAAGGGAGCGCAUUAGUUGAUUACAGAACAUGCUUCCAUGAAAAAAAAAGUCCUUCUAAAUAUUUUUAUUAUAAAAUGUUGCUUUUAUAAAACUCAAACAUGAGUUUCCAUCAUGGCCCAGUGGGUUAGGGCCUGAUGUCUCUGUGAGGAUGUGGGUUCGAUUCCUUGGCCUCGCUCAGUGGGUUAAGGAUCUGGCAUUGGAUGAACAGAUGGGUGGGGAGAUAGAAGGUGUGAAUUCACCAAUGGGACUGUAUUGUGUACGCCGCCCCGUAAACGGCUUAAAAAAAAAUUGUGCUAAAGCAUUUAACAUGAGCUCUGCCUCAUAAAUGUUUCAGCAUGCAUACAGUAUUAACUCUAGGUCCAUUGCUGAACAGCAGGUCUCUAGAAUUUAUUCAUUUCCAAUAACUAAAACUCCAUAGCUGGCAUGGGGGAGGGGGCAGCAAGCCCCCCCCCCCCGCCCCCAGCCCCUGGCAACCACCAUCCUGCUCCAAGCUUCUGAGUUUGAAUCGUCCAGAUCCCGCAUGUAAGUGAAAUCAGGCAACAUCUGUCCUCUGCGGCUGGUUUAUUUCUCUUAGUCUGAUGUUCUCAAAGUUCACCCACGUUGCCACACAAGGCACCUGUCUUUAGCAAAACAAUUUCCUGAUUUACUUAUUUUUUCACAAAUAAUCCAGGGGCAUCAAAUUAGCUUCUGACUUUCCAAUCGGGUCAUUCCUUCCCCGGGACCAGAGGGCUGAGCUCAAGGUUCACAGCUGGCACUUCUGCAUGACACCACAGACAGGAUUUUAGCGACGCUCGGGUCGUGAGGUCUAGUUUUUCCCAAGUUCAUUUUCCUUUGCAAAUCUUUUCCACCUGAUCCCGGUGGAGGCCAGAAUGAUGACAGGUGAGUUACAGGUAAACAGCCAGUGGAGCACCAACUGGGCCAUUCGCAGAAACAGCCGGCCCCUCGCUGCUCUCCAGGCGGAGAGGAAGAAGCAGCGUGGACCUGUUCCCUGGCCCAGGUAGGAGGUGCUGGUGCGGCGAACCUGCCGGUCGAUCCGUGGGGGGUUGGCGGUAGGAUCCCGUUCGUGAUGGUGGCUCCGUGCUCUCUACAAAGCCGCGAGGUCUUGGAGAUGGUCCCAAGAUGAGACCCGCCGUGCCUGUCGCGCCCCCGACAUCUAGCCCUUGGCCACUGCUAAGCUACCCUCGGUCUCUGGAUUUGCUCCUCUGGCCGUUUCAUAUAAUCAGAAUCAUACGACAUGCGGCCUUGCGUGUCUGCCUUUUUCACUUAGUAUAAGGCUUUCAGGUCCAUCCUCCUUGUCAUGCGCGUCAGUACUUCAUUCCUUUUACCAAGGAGUUCAAGGAGGUCCCACCGUGGCACAACAGGAUCGGCAGUGUCUCUGGAGCGCUGGGAUGUAGGUUCAAUCCCCGGCCGGGCACAGUGGGUUAAGGAUCCGGUGUUGCUGCAGCAGCACAGGUCGAAACCAGCCAUGGCUCGGAUCUGAUCCCUGACCCGGGAACUCCGUAUGCCAUGGGGUGGCCACAAAAGGGCGGGGGAGGAAUAAUAGUACCUUGUACGGGUGUCCCGUGCUAGUUGAUCCCUUCGUCACCUGAUGGGCCCUUCUGAGUUGGUUCUCCUCUUGGGCUGUUGUGGAAAACACUGCUAUGAACUUUGCGAACCAGGUCUUGUGUGGACACAGGUUUUAAUUUCUUUGGGGCUGUGUCUAUAUACCCAGGAUCGGAAUUGCUGGGUCGUUUGGUUACUCCGUGUUUCACCUUUUGAAGAACACUGGACCAGUCCCUAGUUCUGCCCCAUGUUACAGCUCCAUCGGCGGUACAGCAAGGCUCCAGGUCCUCUAUAUUCUUGCCAACACCUGCUAGAAUCUGCCUUUAUCCCCAUCCCAGGGGCUCCAAGGUAGUAGCUCCUUGUGGUUUGAUUUGCAUUUCCCUGGUGACAAAUCAAAUGGAGCAUCUUUUCAUGUGUUUAUUGGUCAUUUGCAUAUCUUCUUUUGAGAAAUGUCACUUCAGGUCUUUUGCCCAUUUAAAAAUUGGGUUUUGAUCUUUUUAUUACUGAGCUAUGAGUCCUCAUGUGUUCCAGAUACAAGUCCCUUCUCAGGGAUGUGAUUUGCAAAUGUGGCCUUCCAUUCUGUGGGUUGUCUUACCAUUUUCUUGAGGUAGUGUUUGUAGUACAAAAGGUUUUUUUAGCUGGAUCCAAGUGUGGUGGAUUUACAGCCAGGUGGUUCAGUUACGCACACACACAUACCCAUUCCCGUAGAGGUUACCCCAGACUGUGGAGCAGAGGUCCCUGGGCUGUACAGCAGGUGCCUGUUGACCAUCCGUUCCAUGAACCAUAGUGCGCAUGUGCCAGUCCCAAACCCCAGUCCCUCCCUCCCCCCACCUUUCCCCUUUGGUAGUCAUAGCUUUGUUUUUGGAGUCUACGAGUCUGUUUCUGUUUUGUAAAUAAAUUUGUAUCAUUUUGUUUUAGAGUCCACAUGUAAGUGAUAUCAUGUAUUUGUCUUUGGCCAAAGUUUUAAACUUUGGUGAUGUCCAAUUUAUCUGUUUGUUUUUUUCCUUUGUCACUUGUGGGUUUGGUGUCACACCUAAGAAGACUUUGCUUAACCCAAAGUAUAAACAUUUACUCCUAUGUUGUCUCCUGAGAGUCUCAUAGUCUCAGCUCUUACAUUUAGGGGUAGAGGCCAUUGUGGGCUUAUUUUUCCGUAUGGUUUGAGGAUGGAGUUCCUUCUUAUACAUGCAGACCUUUCAGCCACUUUCAAGAAUGUGAUUUUGGGAGUUCCUCUUGUGGCUCAGCAGGUUAAGAAUCCGACUGGUAUCCAUGAGGAUGCAGGUUUGAUCCCUGGCCUCGCUCAGUGGGUUAAGGAUCGGCUGUUGCCGUGAGCUGCAGCGUAGGUCAUAGGUUGCAGAUGCGGCUCAGAACCCCUGUUGCUGUGGCUGUGGUGUAGGCUGACGGCUGUAGCUCCAAUUCAACCCCUAGCCUGGGAACCUCCAUAUGCUGCAGGUGUAGCCCUUAAAAAACAAAACAAAACAAAACAAAACAAAAACAGAAACAGACAUGGGCAGAUAUUUAAUGGAAAAAAAACAAAAUGAGAGAAACAGAAUCAGAGAUUUAGGAACCAAACUUAUGGUCCCCAAAGGGGAAGCAGUUGAGGAAGGGAUAAAUUAAGAGUUUGGGAUUAACAUAUAUAAUCUACCAUAUAUAAAAUAGAUAAAUAACAAGGACCUUCUGUGCAGCACACAGAAAUCUACUCAAUAUUCUGUCAUAACCUAUGUGAAAAGAAUUUGAAAAGGAAUGGGCAUAUGUGUAACUGAUUCACUUCGCCACACACCUCAAACUCACACAACAUCGUGAGUCAGCUAUACUCCAAUAACAUUUAUUCAUUUAUUUAUUUUUAGGGCGGUACCUGCAGCAUAUAAAAGUUCCCAGGCUAAGGGUGGAAUCAGAGCUGCAGCUGCCAGCCUCUGCCAUAGCAAUGCCCGAUCUGAGCCAUAUCUGUGGCCUACACUGCAGCUUGCAGCAAUACCGAUUCUUAACCCAGGAUACACCUCUGAUUUGACCCCUCGCCUGGGGACUUCCAUAUGCCACGGGUUUCGACCUAAAAAGACAAAAAAAAAAAAAAAAAGAGAGAGAGAGAG
rnacentral:lncRNA from 1 species